ACUAAGAAUAUUUACUUAGAAUAUUUACUAAGAAUGCCGGGUAAAAUGUCCGUCAUAUUACUGGGGACUGGGGCGAGCUUUCGUUUCUUCCGCAAAAAAAAUGUCGAAGCGAAGCCAAGCGAAGGUGCUGAUCGAAUAUUGUGGUGGAUGAGGGUACUAUCCACGCUUUCAGGGUCUGCGGGAUGAGAUUCUUGCGGAGUGCCCUGAAGCACAGGUGGAGGGUAAAGUGGGAAGAUCAGGUUCUUUUGAGGUAACCAUCAAUGGAAAAGAAGUAUUUUCAAAGCUAAAACAGGGGGGAUUUCCAGUUUGUGAUGAGGUUGUCAAUUCAGUCAUAGAGGCAUGCAAAGGCUUAGACCCUCCACAUGUUGAGGAAGUUGAUAAAUCUGGCUGUUCUAUCCAAUAAAAUGCAACAAAUCUAAGCUCUACAUUUAUAGCAUAUGCAAUAAUGGGCCCUGAUGUCUGUUAUUGUUUUUUUUGUAACUGAAUGUUAUUAAAUUCUAAAUAUAAAAAAGGUCAGAAAUUUUAAUACACUCAGAGAUACAUUUCACUGUACAGUCUUGUACACUACAUUUUGCCAUCCAUUCCAUGCAGUAAUUUAUUUCUUUUCCUUGGUUUUCUAUUUAUUUGGAAUGUGUAGUUCCAGUAAAUCAUGGAGGGGGUCGGAGGUAUAACCUCCCCCCCCCCCCCCCCCAUCCCUUUGAAAUUUCCAACCCCAUGGAAAAAAAUAAAUACAGUAACUGUUAAGGAAAAAGGACAUUCCCUGCCCUCUGGAAAUUCCUGGCCGUUUGAACCCCCCGGAGAUGGAUAUUUUCUGGAACUACACAAUUCACAUUUAAAUUUGUUCUAUGCUAUGAAUGAAUGUAGAUUUUUAUUGACACACUGCUCUUUCAUGGGCUGAUGAUUGUCUUCAAGAUUUAGUGACGGUUUGUUGGGUGUGUAGAAUGAAGGCUAUCAUAUAAACAGGAGUCUAUUGGCUCUUGAAGUGAUAUCUGGAUGUAGAGACAUGCCCUCAUUUCACACUAUUUUGUAAGAAUAUGAUACCCAUGGCAAGAAAGCGUGUUUAUGGAAUAUAAUCUUAUUAUUACAAAUAAACAAUUAUUAUUUGUA